rfam:Oryza barthii chromosome 2, whole genome shotgun sequence.
AUUAAGCAUAGUUGAGGGUUUCAGUGUCCAAUGUUUGACUGUCCGUCUUGUUUGAAUAUUUUUCUAGAUUAGUAUUUUUUUUAUUAGAUGAGAAAACACGAAUAGUACUUUAUGCGUGACUUAAUUUUUAAAUUUUUUUCAUAAAUUUUUAAAUAAGACAAACGAUCAAAUGUUGGACACGGAAACUUAUGGUUAUACUUAAA